UCCUGUUGCACACUUCAAGUCAGCAACUACAUCUUGAAAAGUACUGUACAAUCUUACAUCCUUGUAAAGUCAAACUUUGCUGGAGAACUACACAAUGCUUUGAGAAAAGAGGCAGAUUUUCUUUCCACUUGUUUGAAAUUUUGAUUGAGUUGUGUGCCAACAGCCUAGAAAACUGUGCAGUUACCCAGAGCAACGGCACCACAUGGAGUGCAGCAAACACCGCAGCAAGUCAAAAUUUCCAGGAAAGCAAUCUUUCUUUAUGGGUUAAUCAGUUUUGAGCAAUACAAUGUGGACUUCCAGCUGGCAUCCAUUUCACCAGUAAUGGAUGAACGCUGAGGAAAUGGUCUUUUGUUGAAAUGAUGGAUGUGAUCAAGGAUGAAAGACUGAGGAUUUAGCUUUGAGACAGACCAUGUCACUGCUGCUGGAGAGAGAGUACAACAGCCUGUGUGUAUUGAUGCAUGACUCUGAGUGUGCGUUUCAUGAGGCUGCAACUUCAGCUGGAAUCUAAGUGGAAAAAUUCAGUGAGGCAUUCAGUAAGAAAAGAGAUGCAUCUGUGGAGUUAAGUUUAGUAAAUAUCUUAACAACAAGGGAGAAAACAGAAAGCAAUGAAAAGUGAGCAUUAAUAAGAGAGAAAUGCAAAUUGCAUGCGAUAGAGGAACUAUGUUUCUUUCGUGUGGGAAUUCCUGGAAAAGAAGAGGCAGUAAUUUAAUAGUGAUCCAAAAAGAAAAUACUACAAGUGUGGGGAAUUUGAAACAAAAUACUGGAAAUACUCAGAAAGCAUCUUUUUUAAAAAUUUUGUUUUAUCCUCCUGAUUUGGACAUUCCUGGUAAAGCCAUACUUGCCUCUGAACUGAGAGGGUAAUUAUGGGUCCAGCACAUUGAUUGGUCUGGAGUCAGCCAAGCCAGAAUGACAGCAGUCCUUCCUUGAAGGAUAAAGGAGAACUAAUCGCCAUCUUGUAGUUUCAUGUUUAUAAUUAAUGUAUCCAGUUGUUUUUUUUUAUUUUUCAACUCCAGAUUUAUUGAAUCACUUGAAUUAAAAUAUCCCAGUUACUACUGUAGGAUUUGAACUUGCUUCUCUCGAUCAUUGAUCCAAUAGCCUUGCCAGUAACUUAACUACUGUCAACAAUCUAGGUCAAUGACUACAAUUAGGCUGUUAUUUUUUGACAUUUGAAAAGAAAGGGUAAAAAGUCUUACAUUAAAAUUUUUGAUGUGGCAAAGAAUGUACUGGCAACCUGAAAACAUUAACUCUCGUUUCUUUCUCUACAGAUGUUGCCUAAACUCCUGAGCAUUUCCAGCAUAUAUCAUUUUUAUAAUGUAAUAUAAUUUCCUAAAUUUGAAAAC